UACAGAGGGGGGCAAGCGUUGUUCGGAAUUACUGGGCGUAAAGGGCGCGUAGGCGGCCUGUUAAGUCGAACGUGAAAUCCCCCGGGCUCAACCCGGGAACUGCGUCCGAUACUGGCAGGCUUGAAUCCGGGGAGAGGGAUGUGGAAUUCCAGGUGUAGCGGUGAAAUGCGUAGAUAUCUGGAGGAACACCGGUGGCGAAGGCGACGAUCCCUGGACCGGUAUU
rnacentral:rRNA from 1 species